GGGGGGGGGGGGGUGAAUUAGUUGACAACUAAAAACUCAAGUAAAAUUAAAUUAAGAUAAAAUUACACAACCAAAUAAAAUAAAAAAUCAAACUCAGAUAACACAGAUGAUUUAUCCUGGUUCGACCUUUCUGUCUACUCUAGUCCGAUCAUUCUUCUUCUCGAGAUACCGAUUUCAUUAUCACUUGGCCUUUUGAACAGGAUAAAACCAAAGCCACUUAUAAUAAUACAAAACUUCUUUUACAACCUCUCAAGAAGCUCACAAUUACAAAUCAAUGAACAAUUAGAAGUUAGAAAAUUUUUCUGAAAUUGUAUCACAAAUAACAUCCAAGCCCCCUUUUAAAUACACUAGCCAUCAUUUCAAAAAUGGAACAAAAGUAUGAUUAAAUCAUAAUUGAUUUCAAUUUGAAUUUUAACCAUAUUUACAAAUGCAUUUGAAUUAAUUCCAAAAUAAAUUCAAGUUCAUAUCACAUUUGCAAAACUCAUUUGAAAUAUUACCAUAUUGAAAAGCUCAUUUAAAAUUAUAUCAAAUUUAUAAAAAAAUUUUAAAUUAAUACUACAAACGAAAAACUUUUUGAAUUCAUUCCUUCCACAUUUGUAAAAGUUUUUGAAAUAAUACCAUACGUAUAAAAAUCAUAUUUCAUAUUUUUAAAUUCAUGCCAUAAUAAAAUUAUUUUUGAAUUUAUACUAUAUAUCAAAUCUCUUUCAUACCAUAUUAAAAUAAU
rnacentral:lncRNA from 1 species